rnacentral:rRNA from 1 species
CAUUACUGAGUUUACGCUCUACAACCCUUUGUGAACAUACCUAUAACUGUUGCUUCGGCGGGUAGGGUCUCCGUGACCCUCCCGGCCUCCCGCCCCCGGGCGGGUCGGCGCCCGCCGGAGGAUAACCAAACUCUGAUUUAACGACGUUUCUUCUGAGUGGUACAAGCAAAUAAUCAAAACUUUUAACAACGGAUCUCUUGGUUCUGGCAUCGAUGAAGAACGCAGCGAAAUGCGAUAAGUAAUGUGAAUUGCAGAAUUCAGUGAAUCAUCGAAUCUUUGAACGCACAUUGCGCCCGCCAGCAUUCUGGCGGGCAUGCCUGUUCGAGCGUCAUUUCAACCCUCAAGCCCUGCUUGGUGUUGGGGCCCUACGGCUGACGUAGGCCCUCAAAGGUAGUGGCGGACCCUCCCGGAGCCUCCUUUGCGUAGUAACUUUACGUCUCGCACUGGGAUCCGGAGGGACUCUUGCCGUAAAACCCCCA